rnacentral:rRNA from 1 species
GACAGAGGGUGCAAACGUUGUCCGGAAUCAUUGGGCGUAAAGAGCGUGUAGGCGGCCCGGUAAGUCCGCUGUGAAAGUCCAGGGCUCAACCCUGGAAUGCCGGUGGAAACUGUCGGGCUAGAGUCCGGAAGAGGCGAGUGGAAUUCCUGGUGUAGCGGUGAAAUGCGCAGAUAUCAGGAGGAACACCAAUGGCGAAGGCAGCUCGCUGGGACGGUACUGACGCUGAGACGCGAAAGCGUGGGGAGCAAACAGG